UUUAUAGCCACAAAGCAGUGAUAUGUGAAUAAUGAAUUAUUUUGUAAAUAUCACAAUAGUAAUAUGGUUGGAAGAGCUAGUCGUAAAACCUAUGCCCGGUAGAAUAAUAAUCACUUGUUUGUAGAUGUUGGCGCCCAAAAUUUUAUCGGUGUAAAAGUAUUAUUUUAGAUAAUACUAGUAAAAAAUCCGAAUUUCAGCGGGUAUUAUACUAAAUAUUUCAAAAAUGAUACUCCAUUUGUUUCCAAAAAAAAAAACUACUAAAAGUACCUUAAAAUUUUAGAAAAUCUAUCAUUUUAAAACAAAAAAAUAAAUUUAAAAAAUUCUAAUCUCAGGAAUAGAGUAUUUGUAAAUACAAUAAAUUCAGCGACAAAAAAAAAAGUAAAUGCAAUUAAUUCAUCACUGUAUUACUCUACUGAAGUAGCUUUCAGCACAACCUCUUCCUUCCAACCGCCAACAACUAAUAUGCCCCCGAUGAUCCAUAAAAUCUCCAAGAAAAUCAUAGACAUUGUCUUGAUAUCUGGAAUCUGAAUUUCAUAUUCUUGCUUAAGCCAGAGAUCCCGAACAUAAACCUGAAUCUGUGAAAAGCCGGAUGUUUUUAUUUAUUAACUUGAAAUAUACACAGGAAUAGAUGAUUGGAGUCGCAAGAAAAAAAAAUUAAAACUCCGGUACGCCGACCCAUGUGUUCGCGGAUCUGAC
rnacentral:lncRNA from 1 species